rnacentral:misc_RNA from 1 species
AACACCUCAAAUCUCGACAUUCGUGUUGAGAAUUGGACUUGAGCAAUCCCAACUCUUUGCAAAAAGAGGCGGGCUGCUUGAAAUGCAGGUGCAGCUGGACAUUCUUCUGAGCUAAAAGCAUAUUUAUUUAGUCCCGUCAAACGGAUUAUUACUUUUGCUCUAGCUAACACAAAGGUUGAAUGUACUACGUGCUGACUGAUGCAGGAUUACCAAGUCUCCGUCAAAAGAAACUUGUAA